UUUGAUCCUGGCUCAGAUUGAACGCUGGCGGCAGGCCUAACACAUGCAAGUCGAGCGGCAGCACGGGAAGCUUGCUUCCUGGUGGCGAGCGGCGGACGGGUGAGUAAUGCAUAGGAAUCUGCCCGGUAGUGGGGGAUAACCUGGGGAAACCCAGGCUAAUACCGCAUACGUCCUACGGGAGAAAGCAGGGGCUCUUCGGACCUUGCGCUAUCGGAUGAGCCUAUGUCGGAUUAGCUGGUUGGUGAGGUAAUGGCUCACCAAGGCGACGAUCCGUAGCUGGUCUGAGAGGAUGAUCAGCCACAUCGGGACUGAGACACGGCCCGAACUCCUACGGGAGGCAGCAGUGGGGAAUAUUGGACAAUGGGCGCAAGCCUGAUCCAGCCAUGCCGCGUGUGUGAAGAAGGCCCUCGGGUUGUAAAGCACUUUCAGUGGGGAAGAAAGCCUUCCGGUUAAUACCCGGGAGGAAAGACAUCACCCACAGAAGAAGCACCGGCUAACUCCGUGCCAGCAGCCGCGGUAAUACGGAGGGUGCGAGCGUUAAUCGGAAUUACUGGGCGUAAAGCGCGCGUAGGUGGCUUGAUAAGCCGGUUGUGAAAGCCCCGGGCUCAACCUGGGAACGGCAUCCGGAACUGUCAGGCUAGAGUGCAGGAGAGGAAGGUAGAAUUCCCGGUGUAGCGGUGAAAUGCGUAGAGAUCGGGAGGAAUACCAGUGGCGAAGGCGGCCUUCUGGACUGACACUGACACUGAGGUGCGAAAGCGUGGGUAGCAAACAGGAUUAGAUACCCUGGUAGUCCACGCCGUAAACGAUGUCGACUAGCCGUUGGGUCCUUCGCGGACUUUGUGGCGCAGUUAACGCGAUAAGUCGACCGCCUGGGGAGUACG
rnacentral:rRNA from 1 species